rnacentral:tRNA from 1 species
GCUCCUAUAAUUCAAUGGUAGAAUAGCAGACUUUUAAUCUGUCUAUCCCAGUUCAACUCUGGGUGGGGGCA